GUCAGCAGUGGGUGGGGAAGGAGCCACUCCGAAUGUGCCCACCGGGGGGUGUUCGUUAAACUUAAUUAAUUUUUCAUUUUGGGCACAGAGGCACCUGCUGGUUAGGUGUGAUAUGGCUCAAGCAGGCAUCGUAAAUACACAGACAGACGGAGAAGCACGGACAUGUGGAUGUUCAGGACCAUCUCAGAGGAGUUCGGGUGUUUGUGGCUCUGGGCUGAGGCAGGGGCUUGGGUUGUAACCAGAGGUGACCAGUGGUCAGAAUCGAGAGAGAACUGUGGGCUGACAGGCAAGGAUAAGGGUCUGAAGCCCACAGACAAAUAGGAUGGUCUUUGCCCAGCACAGUGCCGGAAGGCUUCCAUUCCAUAGAAUGGGCUCUCAUCACGAUCACCUGCAGCCUGCAGCUUAAAUCAGGGUUUCUGGCGGGGCCUCGGGAGCCACAGUUUAUAGUGAUUGCCCAGGUGAUUCUUAUUCCAAGCUCCACUCCUUUCCCAGGUGAUUCUUAUCCAAGCUCCACUCCUUGCCCAGGUUUGCAGCUUGGUAGCUUCAGACAACAGAAAUGUACCGGGAAGCAGAGCUGGUGCAGAUGUAAUUCGUUAAGGUGAGGUCCUGCAGCAGAAGGGCGGGCACUGUCUCCAGGUCCAGGGCCACUAGGCUGACCCACCUGUAAUGGUACAGCACGCGCCAUGCUGCAGCUGUAUGAGGCAGGCCGGAGGGGACCCGUUAGUGUCUGCUGGGUGGAUAGACUCGGUGUUUAGGCAGGAUUGGUUCCGAAGGAGCGGUAUUGAAGAAGAGAUUCAUUUGCUCUUAGAUUCAUCAGGUGUCUGUGCACUUCUACGUGCUGACUCUCUUCUCCUGCCGACGAGUGCGGUGGGGGGCCCGUGGCCCCUCAUCUGCAGCCUCAGCUGGGUAAGGACAUCCUCAAGGUCUGCUAAUGGAUAGCAAGUCUGUCCAGUCAACAGUCUCACAGUUUUUUGUUUUUGGUCAAUUUAACAUAAUCGGUGGGAUCUCACCAUCCCAGACAGGGGUCGCAGUGGACCCCAAAGAUGGCUGAAAUAGCCAGACCCAGACAGAAUCAUUGACUGGUGACUCCUGGCCCUAAGUCCGGAGGCCACCUCCAUCCACACACACUGUCCAGCUGCAGACCAGGCAUGGCUAUUGAGGUGGGCGGCCUCGGAUACCCCACGUCAUGGUGCCUACCCGGAAACCUCCCCAGGGAGUGCAUGGUGCCCAGCUUGUCCUGGAGCCGCAACCACAAUCACAACCAAGCCAAGGGGCGAGAGGUCUUGUUUGGGUUUCCCCUGAGUGCAGCUCAGGAGAGAGGGAGCCAGGGCUGUUCGCGCUGGAGGAGCGCACGGUGAAUUGGUGGCUGCGGUCCCCACGGGACUGGCACAGGCCUCAGGCCUCCCGUCCGUGAAGACCAAACCUUGGCUGGAAGUCUCGUCUGAGGCUGGUCAGCUUAAGUCUCAUCUUCAGUGGCACCUGUAAUGGACAGGUGGGCAAACGGGGCGGGGGGCAGGCCAAAUGACUUGCAGAAUGAAAAUUGUUUUUUGAGCUGUUAAGCCCAGGCCCACCCCAUGCCCGGCCCUGCUGAUGUAGACGAGGCCAGACUGUGAUGAACGAGGGUGUCCUGGAGGGGAACGGAGUUCCCGGGGCUGGGGCAUCCUGUGUGCUGGCCCUCAGCUAGAAGCGGGCAGCUUCCUGGGCCCUCACCACGGUCCUGGCAAUAGGCAGGCUGGUCCCAGUGGUGGGGGAUGGCCGUGCUUCCGUGGAUUGACCCUUGCCUUCUUGCUGCUCUCUAAACCCUACCCUUCUGUGAACUUUCCUUUCUCAAGCCCAGCACCUGGGCAGCUCCCUGGAGACCUCAUCUCAGGCCAAUGGAGCUAGACACCACUGGACACGGGGAGCUGGGAAGGCCUGACAGGCCGCUUUCCACGCCCGUCCUCAGGGCCCUGCAUGGCCAGUGCCGGCUGUGGCUGCCCAUCUCCUUUGCUUCUGCCGAGGGUGACUCUGGGCAGUUUUCCCCAGGACUCUCCGUGGCUGAAGGCGCCCUUGGCAGUGCCCCCUGCCCGGCCCCCUCUGCUUCUCCCACACUCUGACCAGUCUCCUGGGGUCACUUCCUGAAUACGUCCUUGCACACAACUCCUGGCUUCAGAAUCCAUGGCUCCAUUUUACAGAUGAGGAAACUGAGGCUCACAGU
rnacentral:lncRNA from 1 species